GGGUUGUGAGGUUAAGCGACUAAGCGUACACGGUGGAUGCCCUGGCAGUCAGAGGCGAUGAAGGGCGUGCUAAUCUGCGAUAAGCGCCGGUAAGGUGAUAUGAACCGUUAUAACCGGCGAUACCCGAAUGGGGAAACCCAGUGUGACUCGUCACACUAUCAUUAACUGAAUCCAUAGGUUAAUGAGGCGAACCGGGGGAACUGAAACAUCUAAGUACCCCGAGGAAAAGAAAUCAACCGAGAUUCCCCCAGUAGCGGCGAGCGAACGGGGAGGAGCCCAGAGCCUGAAUCAGCAUGUGUGUUAGUGGAAGCGUCUGGAAAGGCGCGCGAUACAGGGUGACAGCCCCGUACACAAAAGCGUAUGUGCUGUGAGCUCGAUGAGUAGGGCGGGACACGUGGUAUCCUGUCUGAAUAUGGGGGGACCAUCCUCCAAGGCUAAAUACUCCUGACUGACCGAUAGUGAACCAGUACCGUGAGGGAAAGGCGAAAAGAACCCCGGCGAGGGGAGUGAAAAAGAACCUGAAACCGUGUACGUACAAGCAGUGGGAGCCCCACCACUAAGCCAGUGGUGAACUCCACAUACGCAUCCUUUGCUGAGGAUACGGUUAACGGAGCGAAAGCGACGUUCAACCGCAAAAGAAGCAGAGGGGGCUUAGUGGUGGGGUGACUGCGUACCUUUUGUAUAAUGGGUCAGCGACUUAUAUUCUGUAGCAAGGUUAACCGAAUAGGGGAGCCGGAGGGAAACCGAGUCUUAAUUGGGCGUUAAGUUGCAGGGUAUAGACCCGAAACCCGGUGAUCUAGCCAUGGGCAGGUUGAAGGUUGGGUAACACUAACUGGAGGACCGAACCGACUAAUGUUGAAAAAUUAGCGGAUGACCUGUGGCUGGGGGUGAAAGGCCAAUCAAACCGGGAGAUAGCUGGUUCUCCCCGAAAGCUAUUUAGGUAGCGCCUCGUGAAUUCAUCUCCGGGGGUAGAGCACUGUUUCGGCUAGGGGGCCAUCCCGGCUUACCAACCCGAUGCAAACUGCGAAUACCGGAGAAUGUUAUCACGGGAGACACACGGCGGGUGCUAACGUCCGUCGUGAAGAGGGAAACAACCCAGACCGCCAGCUAAGGUCCCAAAGUCAUGGUUAAGUGGGAAACGAUGUGGGAAGGCCCAGACAGCCAGGAUGUUGGCUUAGAAGCAGCCAUCAUUUAAAGAAAGCGUAAUAGCUCACUGGUCGAGUCGGCCUGCGCGGAAGAUGUAACGGGGCUAAACCAUGCACCGAAGCUGCGGCAGCGAACGUAUCACUUAAAGCGAUUCAGCGGGUUACGAUUGACGGAGCGAAGCGACGUCAAAGCGUAUACAAAGUCGAGUCGGUUUAAGGAUACGUUCGUUGGGUAGGGGAGCGUUCUGUAAGCCUGUGAAGGUGGCCUGUGAGGGUUGCUGGAGGUAUCAGAAGUGCGAAUGCUGACAUAAGUAACGAUAAAGCGGGUGAAAAGCCCGCUCGCCGGAAGACCAAGGGUUCCUGUCCAACGUUAAUCGGGGCAGGGUGAGUCGACCCCUAAGGCGAGGCCGAAAGGCGUAGUCGAUGGGAAACGGGUUAAUAUUCCCGUACUUGGUGUUACUGCGAAGGGGGGACGGAGAAGGCUAUGUUGGCCGGGCGACGGUUGUCCCGGUUUAAGCGUGUAGGUGUGUGUUCCAGGUAAAUCCGGUUCACUUUAACACUGAGGCGUGAUGACGAGGCACUACGGUGCUGAAGUAACAAAUGCCCUGCUUCCAGGAAAAGCCUCUAAGCAUCAGGUAACAUCAAAUCGUACCCCAAACCGACACAGGUGGUCAGGUAGAGAAUACCAAGGCGCUUGAGAGAACUCGGGUGAAGGAACUAGGCAAAAUGGUGCCGUAACUUCGGGAGAAGGCACGCUGACACGUAGGUGAAGUGAUUUACUCAUGGAGCUGAAGUCAGUCGAAGAUACCAGCUGGCUGCAACUGUUUAUUAAAAACACAGCACUGUGCAAACACGAAAGUGGACGUAUACGGUGUGACGCCUGCCCGGUGCCGGAAGGUUAAUUGAUGGGGUCAGCGCAAGCGAAGCUCCUGAUCGAAGCCCCGGUAAACGGCGGCCGUAACUAUAACGGUCCUAAGGUAGCGAAAUUCCUUGUCGGGUAAGUUCCGACCUGCACGAAUGGCGUAAUGAUGGCCAGGCUGUCUCCACCCGAGACUCAGUGAAAUUGAACUCGCUGUGAAGAUGCAGUGUACCCGCGGCAAGACGGAAAGACCCCGUGAACCUUUACUAUAGCUUGACACUGAACAUUGAGCCUUGAUGUGUAGGAUAGGUGGGAGGCUUUGAAGUGUGGACGCCAGUCUGCAUGGAGCCGACCUUGAAAUACCACCCUUUAAUGUUUGAUGUUCUAACGUGGACCCGUGAUCCGGGUUGCGGACAGUGUCUGGUGGGUAGUUUGACUGGGGCGGUCUCCUCCUAAAGAGUAACGGAGGAGCACGAAGGUUGGCUAAUCCUGGUCGGACAUCAGGAGGUUAGUGCAAUGGCAUAAGCCAGCUUGACUGCGAGCGUGACGGCGCGAGCAGGUGCGAAAGCAGGUCAUAGUGAUCCGGUGGUUCUGAAUGGAAGGGCCAUCGCUCAACGGAUAAAAGGUACUCCGGGGAUAACAGGCUGAUACCGCCCAAGAGUUCAUAUCGACGGCGGUGUUUGGCACCUCGAUGUCGGCUCAUCACAUCCUGGGGCUGAAGUAGGUCCCAAGGGUAUGGCUGUUCGCCAUUUAAAGUGGUACGCGAGCUGGGUUUAGAACGUCGUGAGACAGUUCGGUCCCUAUCUGCCGUGGGCGCUGGAGAACUGAGGGGGGCUGCUCCUAGUACGAGAGGACCGGAGUGGACGCAUCACUGGUGUUCGGGUUGUCAUGCCAAUGGCACUGCCCGGUAGCUAAAUGCGGAAGAGAUAAGUGCUGAAAGCAUCUAAGCACGAAACUUGCCCCGAGAUGAGUUCUCCCUGAGACUUUAGGUCUCCUGAAGGAACGUUGAAGACGACGACGUUGAUAGGCCGGGUGUGUAAGCGCAGCGAUGCGUUGAGCUAACCGGUACUAAUGAACCGUGAGGCUUAACCUUACAACGCCGAAG
rnacentral:rRNA from 1 species